rnacentral:rRNA from 1 species
AGAGUUUGAUUCUGGCUCAGGAUGAACGCUGGCGGCAUGCCUAAUACAUGCAAGUCGAACGAGAGGAAGGAAAGCUUGCUUUUCUGAAUCUAGUGGCGAACGGGUGAGUAACACGUAGGUAACCUGCCCAUGUGCCCGGGAUAACUUCUGGAAACGGAUGCUAAAACCGGAUAGGUAGCAGACAAGCAUUUGACUGCUAUUAAAGUGGCUAAGGCCAUGAACAUGGAUGGACCUGCGGUGCAUUAGCUAGUUGGUGAGGUAACGGCCCACCAAGGCGACGAUGCAUAGCCGGCCUGAGAGGGCGGACGGCCACAUUGGGACUGAGACACGGCCCAAACUCCUACGAGAGGCAGCAGUAGGGAAUUUUCGUCAAUGGGGGGAACCCUGAACGAGCAAUGCCGCGUGAGUGAGGAAGGUCUUCGGAUCGUAAAGCUCUGUUGUAAGAGAAAAACGACAUUCAUAGGGAAUGAUGAGUGAGUGAUGGUAUCUUACCAGAAAGUCACGGCUAACUACGUGCCAGCAGCCGCGGUAAUACGUAGGUGGCGAGCGUUAUCCGGAAUGAUUGGGCGUAAAGGGUGCGUAGGUGGCAGAACAAGUCUGGAGUAAAAGGUAUGGGCUCAACCCGUACUGGCUCUGGAAACUGUUCAGCUAGAGAACAGAAGAGGACGGCGGGCUCCAUGUGUAGCGGUG